CACCGAUGGGAUCUGCAUCUCUCUUCCACCGUGUUGGCCCCUGGAUUCUUGACCAGCCCCUUCGGCAUCGCAGCUCCUGAGAGGACAAUGGAAGCCACCAUUCUACAGAUGGGGCAUGCUUCAUGCCAGCGUGGAGCCCAGGGUGAGGCUUGAACUCACAACCCUGAGAUCAAGACCUGAGCCGAGAGCCAAGAGUCGGAAGCUCGAGCGACUGAGCCACCCAGGUACCCCGGGUAUGCCUUUAUUAAUGACGGUUUUACAUGUGUCCCCGCAUCCUAUCACCGCCAUGACGGAGGCUCACCCUGGGUUAAGUUGUGUGCCCAAGCAGCCCGCUGGGAAGAGAAGACAGAAGACAAGCUGCCUGUGAGCAUGAGACCCAUCCCCCACUCUCGCACGGAGGUGCUGCUGUGUUUUAAAAUCACCUUGGUGGAUUUAUAUAUUAGUGUUCUUUUCUAUUUUAAAAGCGCUUUCCCAUUGUGCUUUGGCUCACUGGGGCAAUGCUGUUCUCCUGGUUGCGCCGAUAGGCUUUUCAAUCAAAACCAAACAACAAAUCCACAUGCUUCUAUUUUUUUAUAGAUCUCUGCUUUUUCAGGAAAAUAAAUAUUUGUUGAAUUGAAGUAGAAAAA